rnacentral:hammerhead_ribozyme from 1 species
AUCUAGCUGACGAGUUCCAAAUAGGACGAAACGCGCGUUCUGGAU